AUUCCAACAUCUCAACUUUUUUGAAUUAUGGGAGCUUAUGAAGUAUAUUUCUUUGUAUGCUCUCUAAUGUGGGGUCUUAUAGACAGCCAGACAAAUUGUUUUUGAAAUUUGACUAAUUUUAGGAAAUCUUUGUUUGGACUUUUGAGUGUUGUUUUCUUCAUCUUUAGUGUUGAAUUAGUCACGGAGAGGAUGAUUCAGUAAAGUCGCUCCAUUAUAACAUUAAGGUCAUAGGUUCAAAGUAUAGAAAGAAAGAGCCUCUGCAUGUGAGGGUAUGGCUGCAUAUGCUUGAGGUUCAAAGUGAAUGGCAGGGCAUAAUUCUUUUUUGCCAUUGAAUGUCAAUAGCAGAAUGAGCUAUAUUCCGAAUGCAGACUCCCUGGCAUAUUUGUAUUCUGAGAAAGUCUUAAUGCAAUUUCUUUUGUCAAUAGAUUACAAUUGUGCGCUUCCUUAGAGGACUAUCAGGUGCAGUGGGGGUCCAUUACCUUCAAGCUGAGAUUGUGGUGGGCUUAUUGUGCGAACAAGCAGUUGUAACAGGUCAUCUGAACUACC
rnacentral:lncRNA from 1 species